rnacentral:rRNA from 1 species
UACGGGGGGGGCAAGCGUUGUUCGGAAUUACUGGGCGUAAAGGGCUCGUAGGUGGCCAACUAAGUCAGACGUGAAAUCCCUCGGCUUAACCGGGGAACGGCGUCUGAUACUGGAUGGCUUGAGUUCGGGAGAGGGAUGCGGAAUUCCAGGUGUAGCGGUGAAAUGCGUAGAUAUCUGGAGGAACACCGGUGGCGAAGGCGGCAUCCUGGACCGAGACUGACACUGAGGAGCGAAAGCGUGGGGAGCAAACAGG